AUUGAACGCUGGCGGCAGGCCUAACACAUGCAAGUCGAGCGGAUGAAGAGAGCUUGCUCUCUGAUUCAGCGGCGGACGGGUGAGUAAUGCCUAGGAAUCUGCCUGGUAGUGGGGGACAACGUUUCGAAAGGAACGCUAAUACCGCAUACGUCCUACGGGAGAAAGCAGGGGACCUUCGGGCCUUGCGCUAUCAGAUGAGCCUAGGUCGGAUUAGCUAGUUGGUGAGGUAAUGGCUCACCAAGGCGACGAUCCGUAACUGGUCUGAGAGGAUGAUCAGUCACACUGGAACUGAGACACGGUCCAGACUCCUACGGGAGGCAGCAGUGGGGAAUAUUGGACAAUGGGCGAAAGCCUGAUCCAGCCAUGCCGCGUGUGUGAAGAAGGUCUUCGGAUUGUAAAGCACUUUAAGUUGGGAGGAAGGGUAGGUAACCUAAUACGUUGCUACUUUGACGUUACCGACAGAAUAAGCACCGGCUAACUUCGUGCCA
rnacentral:rRNA from 1 species